rnacentral:rRNA from 1 species
AUUGAACGCUGGCGGCAGGCUUAACACAUGCAAGUCGAGCGGAGAUGAGGUGCUUGCACCUUAUCUUAGCGGCGGACGGGUGAGUAAUGCUUAGGAAUCUGCCUAUUAGUGGGGGACAACAUUCCGAAAGGAAUGCUAAUACCGCAUACGCCCUACGGGGGAAAGCAGGGGAUCUUCGGACCUUGCGCUAAUAGAUGAGCCUAAGUCGGAUUAGCUAGUUGGUGGGGUAAAGGCCUACCAAGGCGACGAUCUGUAGCGGGCCUGAGAGGAUGAUCCGCCACACUGGGACUGAGACACGGCCCAGACUCCUACGGGAGGCAGCAGUGGGGAAUAUUGGACAAUGGGCGGAAGCCUGAUCCAGCCAUGCCGCGUGUGUGAAGAAGGCCUUUUGGUUGUAAAGCACUUUAAGCGAGGAGGAGGCUACCUGGAUUAAUACUCUAGGAUAGUGGACGUUACUCGCAGAAUAAGCACCGGCUAACUCUGUGCCAGCCGCCGCUGUAAUAC